UUACAGUGUAAAUAUAAUUACUGUGACAUAGAUUUGCUUUGGUUCACUGAGCUGGCAAUGAGCAAGCUUUACAGCAUUGUAUCUUUUUGUUCUUGCUUAAAUUGCCUUUCUAGUAGGUGGUUGGAGCUAGAACCCAGACCACAGCUGCAGUCCCAAUGUGCUGUUGUAACAGUAUUAGCAUAUAAAGUAGAUAUCAUUGCAGAGUGCAGGGCUGAUUCCUACCGGCCCUAUGCGCUGUGAGUGUAGCGGGAAAGGUCCAUUUCAGUGUGCUUGGCACAGCAGGAACCUGCUGACUUGGCAGUACCUGCAGGAGACUCCGUGCUUUUCAGUGGUGGCUGCUCUACACUCCUGGAUUUUGCCGCCUUGCCAGCAGCACUGGGACCAGAACAAGCAGAGAAGUGUUUUCCAUGGAAAUCUUCUUUCCUAGAUUGAAUGACCCUUAUGCACUGUGUCUUUCCUGGUUGCACAGACAGGUCUGUACCAACAAGUGUUUCUCCUGAAGGAACCUAGAGCAUCUGGACAGGUCUGAGUGGGUCUGGUGUGGAAACGCAGUCCUGGGGAGCUCAGAUACAUGACAGUGCUUAUACAAGUAGUUAACCUAAGAAUAUUGACUACGCCUAUGCAUGUGUUUGCCCUAAUAGCACUGGUCUGAAUCCGAUAUACUUAUUGCCUCCAGAGGAGGCUGGCGGCCAUUUUGUCAGCCCAGAGCUGCUGCUGCAGCUAUGCAGCAGCUUCUUCACUGCUGGUUUCUCUCCAUGUAAACCUUCCUCCCUUACCACAUGUGCCCCCAGGCCCCUGUUUGCCACUCUUUGUCUUUUAGGGGGAAAAAGCCAAGUGUGGGAGGCUGGAUGUUGUUCCCUCUGCUGCCUGAGGGACCCUCUUGUGGCUUCCGGAAGGUUCCACAGAGCUUCCUGUCAGUGCCGUGGGACAGCCAGCGCCUCGCUUAUGACCUGUGGACGAGGGUGCUUCUGUGGCUGUCCAAAAAAAAAGGGAUAAAAAAAUGCUGGAAACAGCACAGCUGGAGAGCACGUAAUACUGCUGAAGAGAUGCAAAGAGAAGAUGCAGUUCUAUUAAGAGAUUUCAUGAGUACGCACAGCUAUGCAGGACAAAAGGACAACUUCUUCAUGAAAAGAAAUACUGUUGCUGGCUCAGACUUGGUGAGAGAAAGAGAUACGGAUACAUUGUAUAUCAGUGGAAGAAGACAUGAGAUGAAACAGCUGUCACUGACUCUAAAAGAAACAAAAAAUCUCUUAUCUUUUCUGCCGCUUUUACAAACUGAGGAUUGACCUGAUUCUAUCAAACACCAUCUUCCAGCAUUGUGGUUGGUCAAAAUGAAGCUGUUCAUCCCUUUCUAUGUUUGCCAUAAUUAAAUACUUUAAUUUUGAAAUAAAUGAGUCAAUUGUUUAAGCA
rnacentral:lncRNA from 1 species